AUAACGAAGGAAAUCAAGAAAUGUAUAUAUACUGCAGUAUCGUUACUUCUCGGUGGCGAUUAGCGCUCACCGCAGGGAAGUCCUGCUGUUUAGAAAUUGGCUUUCCCUCCUAGGAAACCUGAGGAAAAUGCUGCCCUAGAUAACGCUGCUGUAGCUCUUAUGAGAAGCUUGAAAUUAAAUAGAUACAGGGUUUUCUUUCAAAAUAUGCUCUUGAAUAAAUUAGUUUGCAUCCAGAAAUGGCAUCUGUUUUCCUUGGCUCUGAUAUUUUUCUAAAAGUGUUUAGGUAUGCAGCUCACACUGACACCGGUGCCUAAUAUCUGAGCGGUUUUGCAAAUGGGUCCUGUGUUGUUUUGAGUUAAAACAGAAAUACUGUUUUAAUUCAAAACUUUAAAUACAGAAAUGCUGUGGGGUCAGAAACCCUGGGAGAGGGAAAGGACGGGCACUUAGACAUCAGAUCUCAUGUGGUGAAAAACUAAGUGUUUAGAAGAGCUAAGUGGCCUCGUGUUUAGUAACACGAACCAUCUAACAAUAGACUUUCUCUUUUGUACUUGAGGAAGAAGCUGGAAACAGUGGAUACAUCUCUGUUGCUGUUAGAGGUCACUUGCUGAUUUAUCUCCAAUUCGCAGCUCAUUAGAAGCAUUGGAUUUUUCCUUCGGGAGGUGCGACUUAAUAACAUCUCUCUGCGCAGUGAGAUAAUCGCUCUAACGACCAAAGCGGCGUGCUGAAACUUUGGAGGGCCUUCGCGUGCCCCUCGGCACCCACGGCAGCGCGGAGGAGCGGGUUCUGAGCGCCGUCGCAGAGCGAAUCCUCCUCGCGCCGCGGUCCUCGUCUGCAGUCACCACGGAGAAAACCAUCUGUUCCACUUGGAAAGGGGUUUGGUUCCACGCGCCCUCCCCCCGCAUCCCGGCUCCGUCCCCAGCUGCCGUGUUUUGAUGAGCAGUGAGGGAAUGAAUCUCCUGCGUUAAAAAUACUCUGGUUCUAUUUAGAUAAAAAGAAGAAUCUUGCUUGCCUACACUGACAUACAAAAAUAGCCUUAGUGUGAGUAAAUCUUCAAAGUUUCUCUUGGUGAAAAUAUCUAGCCUCACUUUUUUUUUUUAACUUAUCACAUAAAUUUAUUUAUAGAGUGUCCUUCUUUCCUCCUACUCUAUCAAGACAUUUGCAGAAGGUUGCUGCUCGUCUUGUUCCUGAGUCCUGAAAUAAUUUGCAGGGCCUUUGAAACAUCAUCAUGUUGCAUAGUUGUGAUGCAAUGUGCUGCUGUUGCAUGAACGUAUCGUAUUUUAAUGCGAAUGUCAUGUUAGCUGAGAUUCAAGUCUUUCUUUUACUUUAGGCACUUUACACUGGUUUGUAUUUUCACUUUAACGUUGCAGUCAAAAAAAUUCUGUAUAUAGUGACUUAAAAUUUUACAUUCUCCAUGCAAACCAUUGCAUAGAAAAUGAAUAUGUAAUAUGAGAGGAUUAACAGGACGCAUAUACUUUCCAAAUAUCUCUUAAAAAUAGCUUUCACUGUCACUGUAGCAUCUUAAUUCUGAAUAAUCUCCAAGUCCUCCUGCAAAUCUGUGCAUAUAGUAAUGGAGAAACCACCCACUUCAUCCUCACAAACUGCACGAUAUGUAUCUGUACGUGAAAAAAAUUGGAUUUUGGAGUACAGUUCUGCUCCAGCAGAUACACUGCCUGUGCGACUAGCGAAAGCAUUAAUGCUUGCAUUAAAUAUUAACGCAA